GGCUUUGUGACCAGGGGGAUUAGCGCUGCUUUUCCCAAGACAGGUUUUUAUGUGUAUGAUCUUCAGGCUUUGCCUAUCCAGGUUGGCUGGCCGGUGCUGACGUGACGGAGCUGAGGCUAGCGAUAAAUUCCUAUGUUAGACUUCCGCUGUAGCAAUUACUCUUAUACAUCUUUUGUUUUCUCAACUUAAGAUGACUUCAUGUCGAGCUUAAAUUUGAAAUUCUAGUUUUAUGCUAAUGAAAGUUGGUUGUCAGAAACA